rnacentral:rRNA from 2 species
AGCAGCCGCGGUAAUUCCAGCUCCAAUAGCGUAUAUUAAAGUUGUUGCAGUUAAAAAGCUCGUAGUUGAAUUUCGGGGUCAGCAGGUUGGUCGUGCCUCUGGUACGCACUGGUUUCGCUGAUUCCUCCUUUCUGAAGAACUGUAAUGUCAUUAAUUUGGUGUUGCAGGGAAACAGGACUGUUACUUUGAAAAAAUUAGAGUGUUUAAAGCAAGCUAACGCUUGAAUACAUUAGCAUGGAAUAAUGAAAUAGGACGUUUGAUCCUAUUUUGUUGGUUUCUAGGAUUGACGUAAUGAUUAAUAGGGAUAGUUGGGGGCAUUAGUAUUCAAUUGUCAGAGGUGAAAUUCUUGGAUUUAUUGAAGACUAACUACUGCGAAAGCAUUUGCCAAGGAUGUUUUCAUUAAUCAAGAACGAAAGUUAGGGGAUCGAAGACGAUCAGAUACCGUCGUAGUCUUAACCAUAAACUAUGCCGACUAGGGAUCGGAUGAUGUUAAUUUUUUAAUGACUCA